UACGAAGGGGGCUAGCGUUGCUCGGAAUCACUGGGCGUAAAGCGCACGUAGGCGGCUUUCUAAGUCAGGGGGUGAAAUCCUGGAGCUCAAACCUCCAGAACUCGCCUUUGAUACUGGGAGAGCUUGAGUCCGGGAGAGGUGAGUGGAACUCCGAGUGUAGAGGUGAAAUUCGUAGAUAUUCGGAAGAACACCAGUGGCGAAGGGCGGCUCACUGGGCCCGGUACUGACGCUGAGGUGCGAAAGCGUGGGGAGCAAACAGG
rnacentral:rRNA from 1 species